GAUGAACGCUGGCGGCGUGCCUAAUACAUGCAAGUCGAGCGAACAGACGAGGAGCUUGCUCCUCUGACGUUAGCGGCGGACGGGUGAGUAACACGUGGAUAACCUACCUAUAAGACUGGGAUAACUUCGGGAAACCGGAGCUAAUACCGGAUAAUAUAUUGAACCGCAUGGUUCAAUAGUGAAAGACGGUUUUGCUGUCACUUAUAGAUGGAUCCGCGCCGCAUUAGCUAGUUGGUAAGGUAACGGCUUACCAAGGCAACGAUGCGUAGCCGACCUGAGAGGGUGAUCGGCCACACUGGAACUGAGACACGGUCCAGACUCCUACGGGAGGCAGCAGUAGGGAAUCUUCCGCAAUGGGCGAAAGCCUGACGGAGCAACGCCGCGUGAGUGAUGAAGGUCUUCGGAUCGUAAAACUCUGUUAUUAGGGAAGAACAAAUGUGUAAGUAACUAUGCACGUCUUGACGGCACCCAAUCAGAAAGCCACGGCUAACACGUG
rnacentral:rRNA from 1 species